CUUCCUCCCAAGGCCUCAGUAUGCUCGGAUCUUCCUGUUGGGACUCAGGUCUCCAGACUAACCAGCAGUCUGAUAUGUGGGAUCCCCUUACCUGCAGGGAUCAUGUGCACUGACAUUUUCUUGGCCAUAUGCGAUAUCCCUCUGUCAUGCUGCCCUGCCUUGGAGCUGGAUGACUAUGGACUGAAACCUCUACAAACCGUCACAGCACAAAUGUCAUCGCAGAGAGGUGAAUACAGAACAGCAUAGCAGUCAGUGGAGGCAAGAAGGAAACCGAGGGCUGAGAUGUCUUCAGCAAGACAGUGAGGAAAACGUCCUUCGAGACUUCUUCAUCUCCACCUGUCCACAUUGGAUCAUGACUAAGACAAGAAGAUUGAAAGAAUGUUUUGAUCAGGGUUGGAAAACUUUCCUGUCAAGGGCCAGACAGAAAGUAUUUUAGGCUUCCAAGUUACACAGUUUCUAUCAGAACCACUCUAUUCUGCCACUGUAAUGUGGAAGUGGUCAUAGAUGAUAAUGAUUGCAGCUGUGUUCUAAUAAAACUUUAUUUACAAAGUUGGUGGCUAGUGCAUUUGACUUACAUGGCAUAGUUUGUUAAAACCUAGGUUAAGGAAAUUUUCACUUUGAUUUUUUUCUGAGAGAUCUCUCUACCUAAAGUUGAUAUAAACUACAAAAUAAAAAUAAAAAUCCUUAAAGGCAAUGCAGAUUUAAACACAAAAAUCCAAAACAAGAAAACUAAAAAAAUAUGGGCAAAAAGAGAAUACAGACACACAAAUAUUAACAACCAAAGUAAAUCUAAUGUACCUCUAUUAAUAUGCAACAAAAUAUACUAAACAAUGGGAACCAUUAUGAGUGGUAUAGAGUAUUGUUAUAUAUAAUAAAAGAUUCAACUAAUUAGGAAGACAUAGUUCUAAACUCAUUCACCUAAACAGGUAAAAAAAUAAUGAAGUAAAAUUGUAUAGAACUUAAGUAGAAAUUGAAAAUUCUACCACCAAAGUUGACAUUCAUGCAAAUCUCAGUACAUAUUGCAUCAUGUAGACACAAAAUUGGUAAGAUUGUGAGAGUUCAACUGUAAAAUUAAUAAGAUUGAGGUAUUGAACAUAUACAGAAGGUUUUAUCCAACAAUUAGGGAUACACUCACAUUUUUAUUAUAGUAAAAUAUACAAAACAGAAGUUACCAUCUUAGCAAUUUUAAGUGUACUGUCCAGCUAUACUAAGUUAAUCCACGUUGUUCUGCUAUCAGCUUUCAGAAUUCUUGUCAUCUUGCAAAAUUGAGACUCUUAUGCCCAUAAAAAGCCAAAUCCUAUUUCUCCUCCCAACUUUUCACCCCAGCAACGACUAUUCUACUUUGUCUCUACAAUUUUGACUACUCUUAAGUGUCUUGUGUGAGUUAAGUCAUACUACUAUAUGAUUAUACUUCUAAUGGCUGUAUUAUUUUACUGUUUUUGGUAAUACUUCACUUCUGUGGCUGGCUUAUUUCACUUAGCAUGUCUUCAUGGUUUAUCUAUUGUGUAGCAUGUGCCAAAAUUUCCUUUGUUUAUUAUAAAAAACUAUAAUCUCCAUGGUAUAUGUUUACCACAUUUUAUCAAUUUAGUUGGUGGACACAGAUUGCUUUCAUCUUUGGAUUAUUGUAAAUAAUACUCUAUGAAAAUGAAUGUACAAAUAUCUGUUCAAGUCCUUGUUUUUAAUUUUUUGAGUAUAUACCUAGAAGUGGAACUGGUGGAUCAUAUAAUUCUGUCUUUAAUUUUUUAAGGAAUAGCUAUAGUAUUUUCCAUAGGAGAUGCACCAUUUACAUUUCUGCUAGUAGUGAACUGGUGUGCUAAUUUCUUCACAUCCUUGCCAACAGUAGUUGUUUUUGUUUCUGUUUUUAUAGUAGCUAUUCUAAUGAGUUUUAGGUGGUAUCUCUUGGUGGUUUAAUUUGCAUUUACCUAGUGGUUAAUGAUGUUGAAAUUCUUUUCAUGUGCAGCUGGCUAUUUGUAUAUCUCCUUUAGAAAAAUACCUCAUCAAGUUUUUUGCUCAUUUAAAAAUAUUUUUUAUUGCAGCAUUGUGGUAGUUCUUUAUGUAUUCUGGAUAUUAAUCCAUUAUCAGGUAUAUGGUUUGAAAAUAUUUCCUCUCAUUCUGAGAGUUGCCUUUUCACACUGUUGAUAGUAACCUUUGGUGUACAAAAGCUUUAAAUUUUGAUGUAAUAAAAUUUGUCUGUUUUUUUUCUUCUGUUCCUUGUGCUUUUGGUAUCAUAUUUAAGAAACAAUUAUCAAAUCCAAUAUAAUGAGAAUUUUCUAUUUUUCUAAGAGUGUUAUAGUUUUAUAUCUUACACUUAGGUCUUUGGCCCAUUUUCAGCUUAUUUUAUGUAUGGUGUAAGAUAAGGGUUUAAGUUUUCACAACAAUAUUGGUUGAAAAGAGUGUCCUUUUCCCCUUGAAUGGAGAAUUGGCCCCCUUGUUGGAAUUAUUUGAUCAUAUAUUGGAGUUUAUUUCUAGCUCUCUCUUCUAUCCCAUUGGUGUAUGUUUGUCUUUAUGCUAAUACCACACUGUUUUAAUUAUUUGUAGCUUUGAAGUGAUUUUUGAAAUCAUAAAAUAUGAGACUUUCAA
ensembl:lncRNA